UACGUAGGGCGCAAGCGUUAUCCGGAAUUAUUGGGCGUAAAGAGCUCGUAGGCGGCUUGUUGCGUCAGCUGUGAAAACCCGGGGCUCAACCCUGGGCGUGCAGUGGAUACGGGCAGGCUGGAGGCAGGCAGGGGAGAACGGAAUUCCCGGUGUAGCGGUGAAAUGCGCAGAUAUCAGGAGGAACACCGAUGGCGAAGGCAGGUCUCUGGGCCGAUACUGACGCUGAGGAGCGAAAGCGUGGGGAGCGAACAGG
rnacentral:rRNA from 1 species